rnacentral:rRNA from 1 species
GAUGAACGCUAGCUACAGGCUUAACACAUGCAAGUCGAGGGGCAGCGCAGUGUAGCAAUACAUGGGCGGCGACCGGCGCACGGGUGCGUAACGCGUAUCCAACCUUCCCGUUACUCAGGGAUAGCCUUCCGAAAGGGAGAUUAAUACCUGAUGGUGUUCAAAUUCCGCAUGUUAUUUGAACUAAAGAUUUAUCGGUAACGGAUGGGGAUGCGUGACAUUAGGUAGAUGGCGGGGUAACGGCCCACCAUGCCCACGAUGUCUAGGGGUUCUGAGAGGAAGGUCCCCCCANACUGGAACUGAGACACGGUCCAGACUCCUACGGGAGGCAGCAGUGAGGAAUAUUGGUCAAUGGUCGGAAGACUGAACCAGCCAAGUAGCGUGAAGGAAGAAGGCC